UACAGAGGUCCCAAGCGUUGUUCGGAUUCAUUGGGCGUAAAGGGUGCGUAGGUGGCGCCGUAAGUGGGGUGUGAAAUUUCGGAGCUUAACUCCGAAACUGCAUUCGAUACUGCCGUGCUCGAGGACUGGAGAGGAGACUGGAAUUUACGGUGUAGCGGUGAAAUGCGUAGAUAUCGUAAGGAAGACCAGUGGCGAAGGCGGGUCUCUGGACAGUUCCUGACGCUGAGGCACGAAGGUCAGGGGAGCAAACGGG
rnacentral:rRNA from 1 species